ACCAGCUGCAGUGAAUAUAGCUUUGGAGAUCUCUCCUGAAGAGAAGUGAUUAUAGCUUUACUCCAACACAUUAGACAAGUUAAUAUGUAGAGGAAGAAUGAUUUUUAUUGAACAGAACACAGCUAUUUACACACAGAAUUGUUGACUCGGUCUGAAGGCGGCUCCCUGCUGUGCCCUCAUAGUCAGAGGCACAGCACACACAAUGUGCAUCAUAACCCCUUUUCCUGGAUUAUACACCCACACGAUAUAUAUCCAUGGAAAGCUUGUCACCAAAUGUCCUUGCUGUCCAAAUAGCGGCCUAAUAGAAGAUUCUGUAUUCAAAUUACAGAGUGUUAAAGGAUUACCCGGUAGUGGCAAUUCUCCGAUCCAGUGAGUAGUUUCAGGCGUGCGGCGGCUUAGUCAUGGUCUUCUAAAAAAGGUUCCAGGACCUCUGAGGAGGGGAGCAGUUUCAAGGCCCAGGUAUCUUCUAACAUUCCACUCUAUUUUGAGGAUGGGGGUACCACGACGUACCAACUUAAAGACUGACCGGAGCUCAGCACAGUACUGUAUCUCCCGGUCAGCUGCUCGAUUUGUCAAGCAAGUCCAGGCAAUCCACAGAGGUCCUAGAAAGUGUGAAGCACAGUAAGUGUCCUGGGCCGCCAUACUCCUCCACACAGUGAUAAUAGCCACUUUCUAGGGGCUCUUGGGACCAGACCCCUAGUCCGUGGGAAGGAGACUAUCCUUCAAG